UUGGUCAUAUUAUUCCUGAUUCCUGAGCUUAGAAAAUCCAGUGUAUUAAGGGCAGGGACAAUGAAUUCGGUGUAUUCUUGUAUUGGAUAUAUGCCAAUCAUGCUUUUGAAUGCACUUGAGUUGGUCUGAGAGUGUCCUUACAAAGUUCUACAACCAGGAUUAACUUAAGUCACCCAAGAGACCGGAGUCUGGUCGAGUGGGUAAGGUAUGAAACACACCGAGAAUCUCACUGCUGAUAGACUGCAGAAAAGUACUUAUCACAGUGGGAGGCCGUUCCUUCUCUUGCUUGAACAAAAGCGGUACCUGCUGUGGGCCGACCCGGUAGAGACGAACCUAGCAAGGCUCGUCAGUGGCCAAAAACUUGACUUUGAUCCAAUUAGAGAGCACAAACCCCACUUGGGGUAGCCAAAAAAAUUAAAUGAGAAAAGAGGGCAUUUUCUCCGUAAAUCCAUGGUGAACCAGUCACACUACGUAUGCAAUGUAGGCUAUGGGAUUGGAAGUGCACAGACCCAAUGCGCACAACACUAAAUACUUCCUCCAAGCUAGCUAACCACUUAAGCACUCCUUAGCUAGCUAGCCAUAGCCACGUGAAGUAGGGGCGCUGAGGGUGCUACAGCACCCCCUGACAAAUCAUUAUAAAUUAAAGAAAAACAUAUUUCUUUUCAAAAAAGUAGUCCACUGGGCCUUUAUUAGCCUCCCCCAAAUGUCUCAGCACCCCUCUUCACACGGCCAUGUAGCUAGCAAAUAUGCUAACACUAGUUGAUCUUAAGUAUGCAUCAUAAAAGAAAAAGCAUUUGACCCAUCCAGUCCCCUCUGUCAUCAUCACUUUCUCAAACACGAUAAAAAAAUAUUUGUCACAUUUUGCCUGGAAUCUCUGACUUCUCUACUUUGGACAAAGCAGGAUGUGGAAUAAUACAGGCAGGUAACGAGGCCUGUACGCCAAAACCACACUCGCUGUGUUUUUAUUUUGUUUUAAGACUAAACCAAAGCAGAGAUGAAAGGUGUAUUUUAAUAUAUUUAGUGCCACUGCAGAAAUCUAGUGCUUUGUAUUUUGGUGAGGGCAACCUAACACUCCUCAGACUACAAAAAGACCGGUGUGUUUAUGUAACGCGCCCCUCCACCAACCAUCAUGACUUGGACAAUAAAAAAAUCCCUCCCUGCUGCCCCUAACCUCCUCUUGCUCUCCUGCCGUAACAGCCGGUGACGUGGUAGAGCUGGGCCUGACAUUUGCUGCUGCUCUCUUUCACUCUGUCUCACAGCAAGAGUGUGGACGUGUGCUUUUUGGAGAAGGCAUGUGCAGGGCAGCUCACAUCUGGUCUUCUGUCAAAACGCCAGACCACAGACAGAGCACCCAAAAAUUGCAGUGUUCAAUAUUCCACAUUAGUUCAGGCCCAGACAGCAAAACUAAGCAGAUUUUGCUCUCCAGAUGGCGUUUAAAUGUCAGAAAUUGUUCUGCUGGUCAAUUGAAUUCGACGUAUUACUAGAUAUAGUCAUAUGAAAAGUCAGAGACGGCAGAACAACCAAGUAUUAAAAGGAUACAUCGGUAUUUUGGAUAAUUUCCUAUUUACGGAGAGAAAGACUAACUCAUGGAUACCAUUUUUAUGUGUGUGCGUGCAAGUUGAAGGUAGCAUAUCGUUAUUUUAGCGCAAUUGCUGGAAGUCUAUGGAUAUCUACUAGCUAUCUUCUCUUAAAAGCAGGGAAAUUAGCACUUUGUACUCUAAGCAUAUAUAAAUUGUAGUAUUUUAAUUAUAGUUAUUUAUUUUUGGAACUAUUUCUCCUAACUACGCAUUUUAUUAAUCCGCUGUGACGGUGGGCGCAAGGAUGGGCUGUGUGUGAGCUGGCCAGCUGAGACGUCGGGACAGCGGCAGUUCUGAACAAGUUUGCUAGCUAGAUAUCAAGUAGGCAACGUGUAAGAAGAGAACAUCAAUUGUAAAACCCACAGAAGAACGAGUACAUCAACAGUCCAAAACUAUAGUUUUACCUCGCAGCCAUGACUGAAUAUUGUUGACACUGCUGGAAGUAUUUUCACACUAUUGGCUAGUUUACGUUACAUUGACAGCUAGCUAGCACAUGUAGUAGAGUGUGGUGAGACAUGGGUUACUACCAUCACUAGUCCAAUAUUGAAAAUGGUUUGUGGGUGUGUUGUAACAGCUUGCAAUAACAAACCAAGGAAGUGGUCGGCUAUAAUCUUUCAAACUUCCAUUGAAUAAUCCGGACUAAUUUAAACUAUGGCUAGUUGCCGUGAAUAUAGACAACGCUGACCAAGGACCUCAGAAAGGUUGUAGCUAGUUUGCUCUUGACAUUUUUUUAGAGGAUGAACUGACGAGCCAUAAGAUGAGACGUUUCCUGACGCAUACAGUGGUCAUUCUACGCACGCCAGAAACAAAGUAGAAUGGGUUGAGAUAGAUGACGUGCCUGCUGUGGACUGUCCACAAGGAACGGACUCCAUGUCUGCUGAAGUAACAUCGCAUUCAGAACCAGAAUAGAGGACAAGCCUCAACAGUUGUUGGCACUCCAAGAUCCAACGUUGUCUACCCAAAACAAUCAAAACAGUGGAUUGCACGGCUGAUAUAUCAACCCACCGCUCAAAGAUUCAGGGAUGACCUGAUGGAGAGCAUCCUGCAGAGACGAAUGGACAAAUACUUGGAGCCCAAAUCCUGUGGAAACGGCUGUCGUUUGGCUGCCAACAUAACCCCAUGCAAAAACCCAGCAAGGAGGAGGUCAUUACUGAUAUCUCCAUUAGCUAUUCUUCCUUGGGUCCACACAAACACAACAAGUAACAAAACACUUAGCUCUGAUAGACAAUUGCAGCACACACAUCAAGAUUCAAGUACACUUGGGGCUAUUCUGACACCCCCAACUGACAUGGUCCUCCUUGCACUACUACCUAAUACACUUAUUGUAACAUCAUUUGUUAGCCUCUGGUCAUUAGCUGUCUGCAUCUUUAAUGGGGAAAAAAUCCAUUCACUUUAGACUACCGUUAUACCUACUUUGUACCAUCUAUUUUAUUGUAUAUUUACUUUUUAUUGCUGUGAAUUGUGUGAAUGUCUUGUCUAUACUGUGUAUUGUACAUUAUGUGCAGUGAUUUGUAUUGUCUUGUAUAAAAUAAAUAAUUGCCGGUU